GGUAAAUACAUUCCCUUCUUGGGGAUAGUGGGUUUUUUAGGGAAAUAUGGGUAGUAACUCUCAGGUGGAAAAUAUUUUUAGUGCCUCUGAAUUUGAAAGACAUGCUCUAGAAACAGACAAAUCUCAGGUGGAAAGUUUUGAGUGCCUACGACCCAAUUCUAAGUGAGUUGCUUCAGGAAAUCCUAGAUACUUGCUGAAAAUAACACAACCAGAUACAGUGAUGAUCAAACACACAACUCACUCUAUCAUUUCUACUUAAAAUAUUCAUUUGAAAGACAGACAACAGUUCUUUACUGCAAUGAGUUACUGGAGAUCUGAAUGUUGAAUAAAAGUCUCACAUGUGUACACACACCAAGUUUACACCACUGGUGAACUCAAUAAAGUCAGUUACUGUUUGCUUUUAUCAAAUCAUUGAUAUCAAUUCCAGUCAUAUUAUAUAUAUACUAUAUACAUAUAUGUAUAUUAUACAAUAAUUUCUCUAAAUUAACAAUAAAUUCUCUAAAUUAAAAAAAGAACUGACUGUGGUAUAUCCAUAAACAAUAAGUUCUUUAGCACAUUUAGAAGAGGGAUUAAAAUAAGGAACCAAUCAGGACUCGUUGGCUUCGUUCAUUUCAUGCAUGAGGAAAUCAUACUGGCUUACCUGCUGUGCGGUACCUCAGGUAGAGUAGCUAAACAGAGAUUUACCCAGGUACUCCAGCCAUCAGCAUGAGUAAAGAGAUGCUCUUCCUCUCUAGUUUACAUACCUUCUCCUGCCCUGCGUCUGAAAUACACUACACUCUUGACUGGCUCUUCAUAAUCUACACACACACACACACACACACACACACACACACACACACACACACACACACACAUUCUCAUGUCACUUUUCGGGCUAAAGGAUCUGGUUCUGCUAUUUCUGUUCAGGGACUUCCGUUUCGUCCAUCACUCAUCUACACAUCAGAAUUUCCAAGUGGGCUUUGAAAAAAAACCCUCACAUUUAUUAAGAAAAAAUCUUGAGCUACAUCCUUAACAGUUACUCUUUAAUCUGUCAGUUUACUACCCUGCUGUUACAUUCCUGCCAUGCCAGUCUCUAUGUGACAUCACCUUUUCUGCCAGAAUUUCUCCACUCUCACUCUAGACCCAGGCAUGUGUUAACCUUGCAUACCUGCAUUGUUUCUGUAAAGUCUUCCUCAGUCCACCACACAGUGAUUAGAUCGCCCCUAGGUUUCCCUGUGGCUGUCUAAAUUACAAUAAUAUGCUGCGGCCCUGCUCUGAUGGCCCAUAGGUCUGUGGGCUUUGCUGAGGGAAAACAACAUUUUCUUGAUAGAGAGAUGACGGUCAUAUUUGUCCUCUUGCUGUGGCUCUCCUGGGUUACAUCGAGACACUUCUCAUGGCUUUGUUACUCAAUUUGCCUGCAAGUUCACUUCUCUUCAUUUCUAAGCUGUUUUUUCCCUAUCCUGUGACAUCUUGCCCUUUGUUAGCUACGACAUGGGAGCACAUUUUAUAUGGAUUCAGAACAAUGGUCUGUUUCCUGUUCUGAACUUUAUAACAGAAUGAAUAGAAUAUUAUUUCCUUCCCUAUAAAGGAAUCUACAAAUAGUUAAGUACUCCUAUUGUUUUAUAUUGCAAACCUUGAUGUAAAAUUGUCCCCUUAUUUCUGAUUUUAUUCAACAACUAUUUUUGAGUACCUACUAUUAGCAUAAGAAAAUAUGUUAACAAGAUUUAAUAGAACAUGGAGCUUAAGAAAAAUUGUAUAUAACUCAAGAAAGGUAUAGCCCAGGAGUAAUAAAAAUCUAGUGUCUGUUGAGUAGAGGGCCAUCAGAUAUUUGUGGGAUAUAUAAACUUCAUUCUUAAGGUUUGAUAUGUGCAAGACAUUAUUUAUGUACAAUUUGAAUAAGAUAAGUUCUAGAAAAGGAUAGAAUUUUAAAAUAAUAACUAUAUAAUCUAGGCAACUGUCAUCAAUUCAUUUGCUUUAAAUUGGUAUGUACAUUUGUUUAUUGGAAAAGCUUUCAAUAUCAUUUCCCCACAAAUAUAAUCACAAUAAAAAUAAUUUUUAGAAUACUUAGGGAAAAUUUUCUUCUGUGGCAGUUGUAUGGACUGGAAAAGAUUGAUUAAUUGAAUGUAGCCUAGACUAAUGUCAUGAGUUCUUUUACUCAAGUAAUGGCCCCUGGAACACUGGAUGCAAACAAAUCGUUUUUCCUUUGAAUUUGGACUAAUUUGAUAAUAGUUACCAUUGUCUACUAGCACAGUCUAAUUUUUAAGAUAAUGAAAAUUUUCUAAUUUCAUUUCAACUAAGGGUAAAUAAAGUGUGCUGUCUUCAGGGCUGGAGUUUAUUAUGGCCCUGUUUUGCAACUGCCUAAAAACAUUUGAUAUUCUUGAUUUUGAUCUCCAUCCAUAGUUUAGAUGUCUAAACACCACGAUUUACUAUUUAAGGCUAAGCUUAGAAAGAAAAACAUUCCCAGAAGAACAUGACAUGACCGAAUGGAAGUUACCUCAUCACUGAGUCUUUUCCUCCAUUCCUAUCUAGUCAUCGUAACCUUUAUCUCCACUCUGCAGGUCAUGUUCUGUGGGUUGUUCUAGAGUAAAAUUAAAGCAUAAGAACACAGGCUUUAUAUCAUGAAAUACUUGAAUGUCACUGAAGCAGAUUUUUUUACUUAAUGGUAGAUUUCCUUACAAAAGUUAGACAAACCAUCUGUGUCUCAAAAGAUGAUUAUGGCCAGUAUUAACUGUUUUGUGGAACUAUUUUGUUUCCAGUGUUUAAAAACAUGGCACCUUUAGUUAGGUGAUGCUUUUCCACUGUGUUUUUUCACCCUUAUCUUUAACUUUUACUCCUGUACAGGUAUGAAAUAAAAUAUGUUUUAAAUAGCCAUGGUGCAUCAACUUGUAACUUCUAAUUUAUUCCCAACUAUAGUGAUUGACUUAACGAUGUACAUAAAGGGCUAACUUGGGACUAUGCCCACUUCUUGGUCAUUUACUGGCUACAUGAGUGUAAGCUAGAGGUAUGUCAUUAAGCCUUACCCAACUCCUUUGCAACUAAUAGGCACAUGAUAUAUGUCUGCAUGCAUCCAUACAAGCAGUCAGAAAUGUCAGUUGCCAUAAAUGCAUUUUCAUUAUGUCAUAGUUGACUAUAAUUUUGUCAAACUAAUCAGUUCUAUAAGCUAGUGAAAAAAGAAAUCUGGAAAAUCUACUUGCUUUUCUUCUGCUAUUUACUGUGAAAUAUUUGACUUAAUUUGAGAUGUAUUUACUUUAUUUCUUUUCCUGAGAAGAAUAUAGCUUUUUGAGUUUAGGGCCUGUUUCAUAAGAAAUCUAAAGAGUAGCCGUGUGCUGAUGGUACACCCCUUUAACCUUGGCACUUGGGAGGCAGUAGCAGUUGUAUCUCUGUGAGUUUGUGGCCAGCAUGGUCUACAAAGCGAGUUGCAGGAUAGCCAGGGUUACAUAGAGAAACCCUGUCUUGAAAAAAACUAAAAGAGAAAGGAAGGAAGGAGGGUAGGAAGGAAAGAAAGAAGGAAGGAAGAGAGAAAGAAAUCUAAAGAACAUAUCACCUUUUGCUUAUAAUAUCUGACAGUAAUAGUACUAAUUUUUUAGAACACAGCUCUUCCAAAAACUUAGGCUGGAACUCUAUCUCUAACAUCUGACAAUGGGAUCUACAACUCAUGCUGAAAUCAACUUCCCAAACAGCAUUGCUAUUUGCUGAUGAUACCAGAUCUCCCUGACUGCUUGAUCUGAGAGCUUCGAUCCCUUUGAAAACUGCUGCACGUUCCAUUGACGCUAUGGACACCGUGGCCCUUUGCCUCGUCUCUGUUUGCCCUUAUCAAUCAGAUUUUAGGCUGAAAUAUGAAUCCUUCAAAUAUCUUUAAAACGCCAUAGCCUCAUAUAUAAGGAGCACUCAAGGCUAGAAAAUAUGUUUUCAAUAUUGAAGAUACCUUGGUUUUGUUUUGGUUUUGGUUUACUCCAAAUUCAGCAACCACUCUCCUAAGGACUGAGUUUGUUGGACGAGGGGAAGACUCCAGGAAGGUGCAGCUUUCUCUUUCCUAUGAUCAACCUCUCAGAUGUAGGAAACAUCUUCAUCUUUUAAAUUCUAAAAGUAAUUCAAAGGCAAAUACUCUAGAAAAGGUGUGUAAACUCCCAUGUUGCUCACUUGCACUAGACUAGAUCAUGGCAUAAUUUUCAUUAGCAGAUCACCAGGGUUCUGUGACAUUGCUGUUGUCUUUAUUUGAGGUUGGGCACCAAGUGCAAUGUCUGCUUCUACCUUCAACCUGCCACUUCUUUAGUGUAACAUUGCUUCACACACCCUGACCGUUAAAAUAAAAGUAAGUAGAAAGCCAUAGAUCAUAGAUCCACCCACAGAAUGAAAUACACAGUUCAAUAUGGAUUACACUCCACAUUAUGGUGUGAAUCCAAGAUGAACAAAACCUAAACAAUCAGAUUCAGGUUAGACUCAGGGGGAAAGCCCUGCAGACCACCAAGUUCCUGGCCUACCCAUCUCCAAAGUUAGGUCUUCAAAACUAAUGUUAAAUGCUGUGUGUCAAUGCCUUCUUGGAACCUCAGGACUGCGUAGUCUGAGACAGGCUUGCACAAUCUAGACCAGCCUGGCCACACAGUUAGACUUCGUCUUAAUUUUUAAAAUAAAGGGCAAAGAGUAGUUUCCUUUCAUUGCUUAUCCUCUCUUCCCUGGAAGGAUUUAAGCAUUUAUGGGGCACUGAUGAUGAGUUAAACAACAGUAACAGCCUGGCUGCUUUGAAGGGAGGCAAACAGGCCUGCUCCCCCUUAAUGUUGACAGCAUUCCAAAGCAGAGCUCUGGCCAUGGCUGGAGGAUGCACCCAGGCUCAUCCAAGCUCCACGCAGCUGGGGAGUCUGGAAAACCUUUGCAGGACUGCUGGAUGAGUCCCAGAAUGUCAACCUCAUUUUCGAUUUACUGGCUCUGGUUGCCUGUGUCACGCUGACCUUAUUGUUAAACACAGGUUUGUUUGCCUUCUUACGACUCAUGGUGAAAUGGAGAACACAUUACUUCUAAGCUGGUUGAAAGCUUUUAACUGACAGGGCACUUUCAGAGAAACAGGAAGAGGGCAGCUAUGGAGGGCCACUCUGCUCAGUACUUCCAGGAAGCUGAACCAUACUAUUAACUCUCGGGGGGGGGGGGGGGGGGGGGGGGUGACAGUGGUGUCAUGGCCCAUAUUUAGACAGAUGAAAGUAAAAUAUGCAAGCAGCAUUAUAGUCUUCAGGAAUACAUUGUACCUUACUUUUUAAUUAUCUUUGAAAUUGUUCAUCAACCCCAACUGUAGCCAACUUCCCAAAUAGUAUUUUAAAUGAGACCCAUUUUAAUAUGAUUUUCUCUUGUGAGGUACAUGUGAAGCUUAACACAUCUUUGUCUAUGACGGUUGUUUUUCUUUUGAGUUUUCCUUGUUAGCUAUUUUAACCAGCAGUGGUUUGAAGUGUCUUGUCAUUGAAGGUAACUUUUGCUAUCCUCCUUGCCCUAGGAAGGCUUUGAUUUUUAAAAUGUCUAUUCUUCAAACUGUGUUUCUAUUAAAGCUCUGUUAUCUUUCUGUCUUAUUCUAAUACAUAGCAAUUAGAGCUGCUGAGCCAUGCAGCAAUACAUUAAGUGUGACUGGAUUUUUUAAAAUAUGGACUUAAUUUGGUAAACACAAAUUUUAACUUUUUUAAAUAGGAAAACAGCUAAUGAACUUCUAUCAUAGCCUUCCUGAGCUAGGUUGGCAACUAGAGAUUUGAGGUCAAGGACCAUUAUAGAGCAUUAGCUCUUCUUCCUCCUAGACCUGUACAAUUGAUAAGGGAGACAGAAAGAAAAGUGUAUGUGAAUUAACAGCAAUGUACCGCAGAGCUGUCAGAGGCGCACCCUGCUCCUUCUACAUGGGACAGAAACCCUGCCCAGAAUUUCACACGGUAAGCAGUGAUAGAAAGAGCUCCGUGGGCUGCCUUCCAUAGUCAUCAUUUUAAUCACUAUUGUACCUCCUUUUGACCCAAAUAUUCCGUAAACCUUCACUCUUCUGGGGUGAUCAUAUUCCCAGGAAAAAUCAGAGUAGUCAGGCCUCUAUUUUUAAAAUAUUUCAACAGGACAACAAUUUUCAAUUUUUUUUCUAAAUUGAUACUUUGAAACAGAGGAUUCAGGCAAGGGCUGAGAAGGGGUGUGGCUUGCCAGGCCAGUCGGAAAGGUCACUGACAUAAAAGCAGAUAUUGUCCCCUUGAUUAUUGAGCAACAUUCAUGGCAGGAUGAUGCAAACUCCAAAAGAUGAUGUGCUGCGAUAACUGUAUGGGAAAUGUUCGAAGAAUUACCAGUCAUUAUCCAAACACGAAAUGUAAAUAUGCUCAGAGCUUUGUUCGUGUUUAAAGAGUCUCUCACUGUUCUAAUUUGAGGCUACAUCAUUUAGGGGGAAAGUUACCAAUCCAUCUAUUUAGAUAUCAACUAGUUGAGUUUUCUAAGAUCAUAACAUUCCUCUUAAAACAGAGAAGAAAAUGGCUAGAAGCAAAUUAUCUAUUUCAACUCCCAAAGUUAAUCAAAGCACCACUUUUCACUCGGGAACUUCCCGCUUUCUAUAACGUUUACAUCAGUGCACCACGACCAAUUCUGCUGUCUCUCAGUAUAGGAAAAACUUGUUCUGAACACAGCAACAACAACAUGAUGCUGUUGGUGAUAGUAAUGAUGGUGGUGACAUUGAAACGUGGUACUUUAGGCAUCACUCAUUCUCAACUGCAAGCGAUGAGCAACUCUAGAGAGUAGGUUGGUCACCCUGCUGAACCCUAGCAGUGACUAGUUCCCUCUUCUCUGAGGUACAGUUGGGUGGAGAGAAAAGACAGAUGUUUUGAUAGCUGGGUACCACCGUGAACAAGAGAGUGGAAAACACACAGGAAACUCCUAGAAUAGCUGACUCCAGGUGGGCCCAGAUAUCCUUUAAAACUUUGUAUGUGAAGUGGUUGAGGAAUUAGCUUAGCAUGCAGGCAAGAAGGAAGGAAGCACACUCCAAACUUGUUAACAGUAGGGGACAAGCAGCAGGAAAGAGCACACGCACGUGAUGCUGACAGAGAGCAUGGAGUCAAAGUUGAUGAUGAGACUCAGGAAAGAAACCAAGUCCCAAACAUCUGUGGCCAUGUGUGCCAUCUUAUCACACAAGACAGGACUCCAUGUGAGCAAGAAAACAGCAUCCUCUGUGUGAUUGCACUAGAAAUUCCCUUCUGCAGUAAAGAUGGUGGGCUUAGAGAAGGCUCAUCCUGGAGGCAGUGAGCAUGUUUUGAAGGAAGUUACAAUAUUCUGUGAAAUGAUGGGUCAUAAACAUGAAGAGCUGGGGGUGAUUAUGACCUCUUUAAUUUUCCAGAAGGCUUUAUAAGACAUAACAGAGAAGCACUGACGAAUGACGAAAGUAGAUGAACACACCAGAUAAGCAUCUCAACAGGAGGCCAGAUGCCUAAUUGUUUGGCUUCUGUGUUGAAACUGAAAUUCCUCAUCGAGGAAGAAAAUAAAAACUAAGAAACGUCAGUUUUACCAACUGCUAGAAUCCAAAUAAGUACCCUAAGAAGCUGUACCUCUCCUCCAACAUCCCCACCAUUUUGAGUACCUACAACCUCGAAGCCCUGGUCUAGGAGCUGAAAGAAAGCCAAAAUAGCUCCAAGCUCAGCAAUGAGAAGUAGAGACACUGAGCUACAAACAUAUACAAAACAAACAUGUCCGAUGACUCCUUCAGAUGCCACUAUCCAGUAGUGUGGCUGUAUGGGACAGGAAUAAAAAGGUUAACUACCUGUUCGCGGUCUUGCUCGUGAUCCAUCUGAAGAAGCAGAUGGGUAACAGCCCGGAAAGUAACUUGGCAGUUUAAGCUCUAGUUGUCUCUGGUUACCUCACUCAGUUCACCUUCCUCCUUAUUCCCACUAAUGAGAGAGCAGCGAGGAGGGAGGAAGCUUUCUCUGUGCAUGGUGACUGUGGGAACGGGGUCUCCUGGCCACUCUUCUGACUCCUCUUCUUCUUUUCUGGCAAUUGCCAAGCCUGGUGGUCACAAAUGCAGAGGUGUCGUCUCCUGUAGACGACCAUGGCUUUUGAAAUCAUCAGGUCUCUGCUCCCUACUGCAGAGCAUGUUGACUGCUGACAUGAUGCUUUCUAAUCUGUGCUGGCUCAGCAGAUUUCUCCUACAUGAACUGGUUUCCCUGCCUGGACUCUUCUGUAGGGUCACUUUGUCCUCUCACUACCUGCUGUGACCUCACCCUGCUGGCAGAAUAGAGGCUUCUCUGAGACUUCAUAGUUUUUAAAGCUUGACUGAACUCUAGCCAUCACAUUCACAGACUCCUCCUGCCUGGUCUAGAUUAUCUGUGGCCCACACUGUCUUCUUCAAGAUCAAUCCCCAAGUGUAGAAAUCUGAUAUCCCUGCCACACCUGUGGCUGCUUCUUUUUCUCUUCCUGUCAGUUGCAGGAUUCUGGAUCUGAGGUGGAUUCUUGUCAUAUCUCUUCAGAGAUACCUGUGAUCAAGCUUGACUUUAUUUGAUUUUGAGACAGGGUCUCACUGUGUAGCCCUGGCUGUCCUGGAACUUACUAUGUAGACAAGGCUGGUCUGGAAAUCACAGAGAUUCACCUGUCUCUGCCUACUGAGUGUAGGUUUAAAGGUGUAAGCUAUCAUGCCCAGCAUGCAAGUCCAACUCAAGGUCUACAUGCUUAACACUUAGGGGACGAUUUUUCUCUUAGAAAGCCUUGCCUUCCAGAUUUGCCUUGCUCUGGUCCAAUCAACGACCAACCCAAGAAGUCAGAAGAUGAACACUGACUUUCUUUAAGCAUUUCUCCUCCAGUGUGUCUUGAGAAGGCCCAAGCUGUGGAGCUGUGAAAAGGGGGUGGCUGUGGAUAACACCUAUCACACUCUUUUUAAUCUCAUGUUCUAUGCUUCCACUGGGAUAAUUUCACUGCUUUGAAUGCUGAAUUUCACAGUUUAAGCUGAAGUUGUUGAAAGGCUCAGAGAAAUAUACUCUGUUACUUGUUGGUAAAAAUAAUGUUUACGGCAGCCUGGGAAGAGGAAGUCAUCAGUGCUCUGUCAUGCCCAUGCCCUUCUUUGAUCUUUUUGUUACUAGUUUGUUUUAAGUAAAUAGUAGAUCCCUUAUAAUAAUAUUCAGCACAUUUAGAUAUUUAGUCUCAUGUCCUUAAGUAAAAUUAUACAAAUGUGGCUUCUAAUUUCUGAGUAGGAAAGAAAAUAGUUUGAAAUAUAUUGGAAAUUGGGGGGCGGGUGUUGCUAGGAUGGUAAAAUUGUCUCCCUAUCUGUGAACCUCUGGCACUGUUUCCCUGGAAAUGGCCAGGUGAUGAAUGUUAAAACUGAGCAUGCAGCACCAGCAUCAUCAUGUGCUUAUUUCCAACCUGUUAUUAAAAAUUACAUCUCAGCUUUUCUGCUAAGGGUGGAUUUCAGAGGAAAUGUUUUGUGACUCACACAAGAAAAUUGAGUUAGUUUACCCACCUUGAAUGGGGUCAUAUGUUAAACAGGCUCAGGUUUAAAAUGAAUUGUUUCUUAAAAACAACAUUGGGAAUUUAAAUGAUUCCAGUGUAAUACCAUGUAAUGAUAAAGAAUAAGCUCUUUAUCAGUGAAUCACCUCCAACCUCACUAUAAUGACAUACCAGGUACAUAUGCAUAGUCAAGACAUUCUCCUCAUUUUACUUCUAGUCAGUAUUUCAGCUUCCAUUAGACCACGUGACAUAAGGUAGGAUAUUAAUAUGGUUUGGUGGUAUGCAUUCUUGAUAAUCUAUGCAUUUUAAUAAAGCAAGGAUUGGUUCUCAAGACAAUUAAAUUGAAGCCAACUAGUUGUUUUGAUCAUAAAGAUAACACAAAACAGAUCAUAUCAAGUAUCUAGUGAGACAAAAAAAUAAUAUAUAUAUAUAUAUAUAUACAUAUAUAUAUAUAUGCGUGUAUGUAUUGGUUACAGUGGCCAAAAUAUGAUUGUUGUUCUACCAAUUUAAUUUUCAUAAGAAAUUGUGUACUAAGCAUUAAAGGGAAAGGUAUAAUCUAAUUGUUAAGACUAUUAUUCUGUAUUGGUUUCAUUAAAUUAAUAUAAUUUAGCUGUAAAUAAAUGGUAGUCAAUAAAUAAACUAAGUACCUGCAGUGUGUGUGAGCCAUGCUGGGAUGUGAAGACAAAAAGAUGAAAGGGUAGAUUUCUUGCUGGAUUUCUACUUAAUUGGCUGUCAGAUAUUACAAACUGUAAUAAAUGUAUUUGUUUAGUUUCCAUCAAGUAAUAGGUUGGAGAAAGUAGAAUGUUCUAUUUGGUUAUUUGAUCACAAAACGGUUCUUACAGCAUAAAACAUUUAUUUCAUUUAUUCCUGGCUGAGCAUUAUGUUUUCCUAUUAAUUAAUUAAUUAAUACAUUACCAGUUAAAUUUUUAAUAAUGUUGAGAAACUUCUUAUUUACCUAUGAAGUGAUAUGCUGUAAUUAUUUUGUAAAUACUUGAUUACAAUUAUGGAUAAAGUAAUUUUUAUUUUAAGUUAACUAUUUAAUAUGUAAAAGGAAAAUGUGCUGCUGGUGUGCUACUGACCCAUGCUUGUAAUCCCAACACUUGGUGAGCAGAGGCAGAAGGAUUGCUGCAAAUCUGAGGCCAGCUAAGACUACAGCAUAAAUUCUAGGUUAUCCAGUAUCAGAAUGAUACUCUGUCUCAGAUUUUAAAAAAGAAACUGCAGUAAGUCCCAGUGAACGUGCAGGCAAGACUUUAGUCUCUGCUGCCAGAGUAUGCCUCUCUCUGGAGUCACUUCCUAAGCCUGUGUGUAUGCAUCACUUUCUCUCUGCUACUGGUGUGCAAGAUCAAAUCGUCUACGUUUUUAAACAAUGUUUUAUCUACAUAGCAUGAUGUUAUUUUACCUGAUCAGAAGUGGUCAAAUCCCAUCUUAAAAGUGAUCUGACCUAAGGAGAAUUAUUUUGUAAAGUGCAGAAAUCCAUUCUGUGUGAGUAGUUUGCAAUUUGUAAUGCUUAAACAGGAACACCACAGAAAGCAAAACCUCUCAUGCUGGCUUGUGUUAUUUGCAUAUGAAUGUGCUGUGACAGGACACCUAGGUCACCCAGCCUCCAUCAUCCCAUUUCACUGUUAGUUAAACCUGACGUAAUCCAAUAAAACCAAUAGUGGCCAUACUUUUUGAUUCCUAUGUUUGAAAUAACACCAAAUGGAGCACAUUGGAGGACUACCUGAUAUAGCUCACAUUUACACAUCUAGUCCCCCAACACAUUAAAUAAGUGUUUUUAAAGGAAAUAUGAACACAGGGAAGGAAUUUGAGUUUAUUGAAUGUACUUAAUAAAAAUAAUAGACUAUCUGCUUGUUAAAUAGCUAAGAUUAAAUUAUAAAUCCAAAGGUUUAUUUUGUUGUCAUUAAAGGAUUUCAGUAUCAUUUGUAUGUCAAAAAUUACUUGUGAGAAUCACAAACUCAGAUCUUUACUGUGAGAAGUAUUCUUUUGUAUAUUUCUUGUGUGAUAUGAUAAACACCCUGAACAUUAAAUUUUUUUCUAAUAAAUGUGAGUCAUAUAUGAAUGAAAUACAUUUAAAGGAGAAAAAAUAAGUCCAGCAUUAACAACUGUUAAUCAAUCGUUUAACCGUGGCUAUUGAUCAAAGGCAUAUUGUGAUGUAGGUAGUGUAGUUUUUUAUUUGCUUUGUGUAUUCUGAUUUCUUCCCAUCAAAAAAAUAAUUAUUUACUUUCAUCAUUGUUUUUAGUUCUUAUGGACUCUAAAACCAGGUUGCAUUCUAUAAUUCUUAUAAUCUUAAAUGCCACUGGUCAAGACAAAAUCCUGUGUGACUGCAAAAUUUUUCUUUCUAAACCAGGUUUUGUAAUGCCUUCAAUUGCAGUGCUUGGGAGGCAGAGGCAGGUAGAUCUGCGUUACUUUGAGGCCAGCCUGGUUGAGGCUAAUCAGGGUUGCAUGAUGAGAUCCUGUCUGGUUACAACCUGGCAAAAUCAGGGAGUAAUGCUAACACUGAAGUACUUUGUACUCAGUGAAGAGCAGUGUGAAUGCUCAUCUUUUCCAUCUUUCUGCACACUUGCCGUUCUGUAACAACAGUUUCUGUGUAAGACAGAUCAGUGGUAACAUUUAACCUGGACACAACCCAAACUUUGAAGCAGGUGUUUGUUGUAUUGAUUUAGGGAAGAAAAAUUAUUGUCAAGAAUUUCCUUUAAAACUACAAGACCUUUAAAGAGCCUGAAUAUGGCAUAGAAAUAAAAACUAAGGACAUUAGUGUGCCAGUAUGUAGGUACUUGUGAGUCAUCAGGCCGGCAGUCUAUGCAGGUCAGUAAAUCAAAAGCAGCAUUCUGCUCAGAGUUCUAGAAGACAGGUGUGUCACUGCUGGAUUUCAGUAAUCUGACCUAAGUUCCUAGUCUUAUUAUCGUUUAACACACUGUGGUGAUAUUUCAGCAGGGAGCUCUGUAUUUACAAGGGAAAUCACCGAUAAAACCCCUUCACACUCUAGAACAUCCCAUAUGAACAUACACUUUUUUCCCUAAUAAUUUCCAAAUGAGUGUUAAAAAUUAAGUUACCACAUAAUUUCAUACACCAUAAAGAUUAUCUUCAGAAGUUAAUAAAUCUUGGAUCACCAAAUGUAUGAUUUUUAAGAACCCAAACACCAAAGCUUAUGGAUACAGAUGUUUAUUAGAAAAUGUGAAAUAUCCAGACUUCAAAAAUAUUAGAUUACUGAUUUGGCAAACAAAUGCAUGAGAGAGGCCAUUUGCAUUGCAGGAUGGAGGAUGGAUGGGGAGCCCCCUGUGGGCCUUCAACCUCUCCUCUCCUGUGUGGUUUAAGAGGAUGAUGUUUCUGUGAAUUUGUGUUCUGAAAUAGCAGAUCUGUGAGGAUCUAUGUUUUGGAAAAUGUGAUGCCAUUUUUAGGGAGAAAACUGAAAAUGCACACCCCCAUGAAACUUUUAUCUCCCACUUUCAAAAUAGAGAAUCACAUUCAUUAUUAUUUAAGAUGUUUCCCCCUUUUUUGAUAAAUUUUAUGAAUUUUAUAUUAUACUUAAUGUUCAUAUACAAGCAAUUUGCAGCAGUAUGUUAGUAGAAUUCUUUCUGAGCAACACGUUUGUAAGGAGGAAGCCAGCUUGGGAAGGUAAGGUUAAGCUGGGAUGAAUUCGUUAGGUUCUUGUCUGAUGGUUCCAGUUAUGCUGUAUGUAGUUACAGCGAAAUUCAUGGUGGAUUUUCAUUCAGGGGCUUAUUAUACUUAGCAUCAUUUAUACAUUUUAAAAGGUUUGCUUUGGACUGGGCAGUGGUGGCACAUGCCUUUAAUCCCAGCACUCGGGUGGCAGAGCCAGGUGGAUCUCUGUGAGUUCGAGGCCAGCCUGGGCUACAGAGUGAGUUCCAGGAAAGGCACAAAGCUACACACAAAGAAACCCUACCUGGAAAAAAAAAGUUUGCUUUCAGUUGCCUGUAUCAGGGAGAAUUAUUUCUCCAUUAUGUUCAUAUCCUGAGUUAUUUCUACUGAACAAGGGCUCACUUUGGAAUCCUUCUGAAUGUGAGUGCUUACCUUUGAAUGUGUGAGGGCAUGCAGCUCCUGAACACUGUCAGUCUAGAGAAUAGUGUAGAUAAUGUUAGCACAUGGCUAACAUAUAUGGAGCCAAGAGUCUGGAAACUUAAGAGUUCUGCACUAAGACCUAUUUUAUUGGUAUGAGUCAGUUGCCAGCAGAAAUCUUGAAUUUCUCUGAUCUUCGUUUUUAUUUUUUCUAUUUGAAAUAUUGUGCAGCAUGAUAUUGUCUAUAUGAAAAAUGGGGUAGUACGAUAUAUAUUCCAAAAUAUUUUGUUUUUGCUAACCACUGGACUAAUUUUACUUCAUAUCAAAUUCUUUAUGCCUGAUGCUUUUGUUGAAAUAAUUGUGUAAAUUAUUAUCUACACAAUAAUAACUUAAUGUAAAUUUUAAUAAUUUUAUUUAAUUUUGUGCUGUAAAUUCCUGUUUAAACUUGUGUAAUUAGAACUUGAAUAAUUCUACUUAUUGGAAAAUUCUAGAAACAUUUAAUUAAUUCCUAAUUCCCUAUACAUAUACCAACAAUUUAAAGUAGUUUAUGAUAUUGAACAAUAACUCCUUCAAACAAUUUUAUAAUAAUUUUCUUCACUAUGUUAUAAAAUUGGAUACUAUCAUUAUGAAACAUAAAACACUUAAGAUAUUGAUACUUUGAUUUGUGAUGCUUUCCAACACAAUGCAGUUUUCAUAGUCUUCAAUUUUUUCUUAAUUUUGUUUUCUGUAAAUUUGAACUAUUUUUUUUAGAUAAAACCUUUGUUUAAUCUGGGGAAAAUUUUGCCUUUUAUCUUUCUAUUUUCUCUAUCCAUCGUCAUUAAUAAAAACUUAGUUCUGAAAAGCAAGUAACAUUUUCUAUUACAUAUUCUUAAAACUGAUUUUGGCAUUAUAAUUCAAAAUAUUAAUCUGCACUUUAAUUCUUCCCACCUAUAUUUAGAAAUUUCCAUCUCUUUAAUUGCUUGAAAUAAUAGGUAAAUGACUUUACACUAUGCUUCAAGGACAAACUCAAACAGAAAUGCAGAAGCUUUACUGAUUAAAAAUAAUUGUGAAAUAAUUUCAACUGAACAUUUAACAGUGUGCCUGCCAAAUGUAAUAAAGUAGUUAUUUCAAAAUAUGCACACCUAUGAUCCAAGCACUUGGGAGAUAGAGGCAGGAGAAUCAGGAGUAAAGCCAGCCUCAACUACCUAGGGAGCUCAAGGUAGCCUGGGCUACAUAACACCCUAUCUAAAAGAAAAAUCAAAAUACGUAUUUCAAAUGAAUAAAGUCUUCUAUAUUAAUUUGAAGUCUUAUGUUUUAAUUUAGUCUUUAAAUUAGUGUUGUUCUAGAUGAACUUUUGAAUGGCAUGAGAAAAAUAUGAGGAAAUAGUCAUGUAAUAAAUUUCAAUCAUCAUAAUUACAAACACUGGUUUGUUUCCUCUGAUAUCUCUUCUACAGACUAUUUAUUUCUGAAUGCCAAAUUCACCAUUUCACCACAUUCUGAAGCUGCAGCCUUGUAUCCAAAUGGACAUUUCUUACCCAAAUCUGUGUUGUGCUUGAAAUACCUUGUUCAUAAAUACUCUGUUCCUUUGUGUGGUUCCUUAACCUCUAGGUACACUGUUCAGGCAGACUUCAAAUGUCAGAUGAUCAGAGAACUACAGGACGUGAGAGUGGCACAAGACCCAAAUAUCCAGUGGUCCAUGCAGUCUGUGAUCUGCAGACAUGUUUUGAAGCAGAAAAAGAAAAUCCUAUCUCAUUAAUGUCUGGAUGACAUUGUUUUCCACUGUCCCCAUAAACGUUUUAGAGAGAUCAACAAUGAGAAUCAUCUCUAUUGCCCACAUCGCAGAGAUCCUCAGAUUCCGAAGUGUCUGUCCCUCAUGUCAGGGCAGAGUGGAAGAAGGAUGAGCUGGGGACAGGCACUGACUUACAGGUUAUGAGGGACGAGCAAGGCGCUUCUCCAGUAGAGCUAGGCUCGUCACUUUGCGUCUAACAAAAAUGUGGAAGAUUUUCUUCCACAGUCAGCUUUCCUGUUCACUGUAGAUAUAAAUAAGCUGUCCUGUAAUCCAAGUCAGUUCUAACACUACCUACAUGCAGCUGUUCAGACCUUACAAGUUACAGUUCCUUCACAGAAGACUGCUGUCUCCUCAGUGGCCAGCUGUGCACAGUGAGGCUCCAGGUUACUCAGAACUUUGGACAACUUUCCUACAAAUCAGAAGAUCCCAAGACCCUCCCUUCAGGCAGAGUUAAUUUGCUCUAAAGCUCACAGAACACAGGGAAACAUCUAUGUUUGCCAAACUGACAUAAAAUAAAGCAUCAAGAUGAAAGGCUAGGUUAAUGAUGCACAUUUGGGCGAGGCUCAAAAGUAUCCCAAGUUCAGGAGUGACGCCUCCCCAUUGGCUUGGGUUGCGUUAUCCUCUCAACAAGUGGAUGUGUUCACUAGCCAGAAACUCUCAGAAUAACAUCCUUUAGGGAGUUUCGUGAAAACCUUAUCAGGGAGACACAAUCAACUAACUUAUUCUUCAGCUCUCAUCUUCCCACUACCAGCAGGACAGGAGAUGGGGUUAAAGGUUCUAAGCUUCUAAUCAUGGAUCGGUAUUUUUACGUAUAAGCUCUAAAUAUUUAGAAGGCAGUUUGACAGUAUGAUCAUUUAGCAAAAUAACAGUAGCAGGUUCUAUCCUGGGGCCUAUAACCUCAGCUUUGGGCUUUUUGACCAGAAAUACCGUACCAGGCAUGGCAUUCCAUACAGUGGAGGCCUCAGAUCUAAUCAGACAAUGGUUAGUUACCCCCUAACACUCACCCCACUCCUGCACCAGUGGGCAUGUCUUGCUUGCUAGGGUAGUGUUGCAUCAUGCAGGGUCCAGCACUGGAUAAGAGCCCACCAUGGCUUUUCUGCUUGAGUACCCUGGCUAGCACCUUCCAACACUGUAUAAGCUAGCCAGGCAGAAGUUUCUCAGUCAGUUUGAGAUUGAUUUCUCUAUGUCCUUCAGCCAAAGUGUGAAGUGUCUUUACCAAUAGAGUUUUACCAAGGAGCCAUAGUUGUUCACCAAGGGCAGUGGCAAUAUCCUGAGUUGUUUUGGAGACCUAUGAGGUCACCAUGACCAAUAACUCAUAAAGGAGGCAUCCCAUGCCUUACACUGUGAUUUUAAUUUCAUAACUCAUGACUUCUAGGAAGGACACUGCCACAAAUGCAAGAUAGUUUCCUUUUUUUCAAGUCCAUUGGCUUUCCUUAAGGCUUUUCAUGAAGCCUUAGUUUUGAUUAAUCUCCUCACUACCCUCUCCUCUGCCACAUUUUUAUUAGCAGUAUGUUUUUACUCUUUGGAAGUUCCAUAAGUUCAGUGUGUAUUGAUAUCUACACACUCCUGCCUCCUUCCAUCUCCCUUUUGUGCAGCCAAGCCAGCUUCAGGGCAGAAGGAGGUGUUUCUGAAGGACCCUAAGUCUAGUGUUUGUUACAUCUGCUCCAUAAAACACAACUUUAACAUGUGAUAAUUCCCAUGUGACCAAGCAACUACAAAGAAGAUAUAUGAAACUAGCCCAAAUCCCUAAAUUUAAGAUAAAGAGAAACAAGAACAAUAAAAUUAAUGAUGAAAGUCAAGUCUUAGAUAACUAAUGUGCCAGAAAUAGUAGUUUUUAAAUAACAUCAAGGGAAUCCCAUACUGUGAGAAUAAGUUUUUAACUUAGCAUGCUUUCUUUCUCUCUUUUUUUUCCAACUAUAGCUGAACUAUUAAUAACUCCUUAUCUUUUUAUUGAUCCCCAACAUUUUUCUGGAGACAGUCCCACUGUGUAGCCCAGGCUGGCCUCAAACCUGUGAACAUGUGGCAGUUGAUCCUAUGCCCUCUGCCUCCCUCCUUCGUGCUGGAUCACAUGGUAUGCCACUCAUCAAGGCCAGCUUGACUUCCAACAUCUGGCAAGCUUCCUGCUCCUGUGCUGACCAUCCCACAUGCAUUAACUCAUGCAGGAAAGCAGUCCUGAGGAAAAGCAGGCAUCUGUUACCCCUGCCCUCUCCAGGUGGAAAAUGAGGCACUGGCAGACUUUAUGCCUAUCAAAGGGAACAUGCAUGGGCUUAAGAAGAGAGAUAUGGCCCCAAUCUGCCUCCUGGCCCAUUUCCCCACAACCAGAUCUACAUUUUCUUUCUGGAUUAGACUUGCUUCUUCCCUCUCAGAGUCAGACAGUUUGGAAAUGAGAAUAUUGUGCUCUGACCUGUUGAGACACUAGCUACCAGUAAGGCGGCUUACUGUGAAAACAGAACCAUUUUUGUUAUGUGCUGAAAUUUACUAGCAGCACAACAAGGUUUUAAACAAGUGUCGCCUUCCUCCACCAGGACAUGGGGGUUUUGAAAGCAAGUGUUUGAAACUCUCCUUCUCCCUCACGGCUGGCACACCCAGCAGGAACGUGAGAGUCUCAUCUGAGGUUCCCCAUGCUCCUGGAAACACGGGUCUUUUUAAUUCAUACUGUGAAAUGCAGUUUUGAGCCAAAUCCUCUUACGCAGCUAAGAAAGCCUCCCCCCAUCCCCCCCCCCCCCCCACACACACACACUGGGCUGGUCUCACUCUGAGGGCCAGCAUGGGAAUUCGCAGCAGUGCCCAUGGGAGCUCGGAGGGAAGACUCCUCCUCUGGAACAGUUUUCAACAUUUCACAGCAUGCUGGUCCUAAAUGGUUGUGUGCUGUGGAAGGUUCUGCUGAAACGCUCCUCAUCUGACACGAGGCUGCCCCUAAAUGCCCCCCUCUUUCUCCCUCAUUUCCACUGCCCCCCAAAUCCAGCUUUCCUAGCCCCAACAUCUUCCUUUGCCUUACUGUCCACAAGGCUACCUUGCCCACCUGAAAUAGAGAUGCCCUCCUGAAAGUGGGUGUCUAAAACUAGGCACUGAGAGGUCAUUUACCACGUAGAUCAUACUUUAUCUAGGGCAAUAGUGAUGCCAUGGGCAUUCGAUUCAAUGAGUAACACUUUAAAAAGACUUAUACCCAGGCAGCAGUGGCUCACGCCUUUAAUCCCAGCACUUGGGAGGCAGAGCCUGGUGGAUCUCUGUGAGUUCGAGGCCAGCCUGGUCUACAGAACGAGAUUCAGGACAGGCUCCAAAGCUACACAGGGAAGCUCUGUCUCGAAAAACCAAAUAAAUAAAUAAAUAAAUAAAUAAAUAAAUAAAUAAAUAAAUAAAUAAAUGGAAGACUUAUGGUCUCAUUCAUUACACAUAAAGGUCCUUACUAUAAACAAAACACAAUUGUGACACGAUGUUGAUGGUUUCACAAGCUGAGUGAAGGCCUAAAAUGCAUUAUACAGAUGAGUCAUAACUCACAAACACAGACUCUCCUGUAACAGAAUUCUAGCUCUUCCUAAAAUGGGUGAAACGAAGUGGUUCUCAGAAAUUGUGUUACACAUAGUGCUUUUUUCUGAUUGUGUGGAAUGAUUUAAUAGAUUAAUAGGGAAGCAAGGUAUUUUUCAAGCUGAAUAUAAACACUGCUGCAGUAUUUACCUGAAUUAUUUUGUCUUUCCUCAUAAAAUAAGCAAUUUGUAAUUAGCCUGGGUUCUGUGUAUGACCUUUCUUGCAUUAAUUUUAGGGCCACAAAUUGGGUGUUCCAUCUUUAGUCUCUCAUCUGUUUUCUAGGCAGGAUGAGCAGGAGGACCACAAGAGGAAGAAGGGUAGCCUCUACUACAAGGAACCCGAAUUUUCCCUGGAGAUGUGCCAUUUAGAAUUUUUGCUUGGAUUCCAUUGGUGGAAACAGUAUCCAACAACCCCACAUUGUAAGGAAGGCAAGAGAUGUGGCUUUCAAACAGACCUAUAGAAGUUCUAGGAUUAAUUAGAGGAAGCAGAUAGUGAGUAAUUAACUCAUAUAGCAUUCCUUCCUAAACUCAUCAAAUGUGGUUAUAUGGCACUCAUAGCCUGGUGAACUCAAAAUAGGUAAUGGUUAUAUGUAAUACAGGCAUGAAAUUCUUCAAUAGAACCACAGGAAAGGGUUUGCAGUCAAGAAGACUAUGCCCAGUCAAGAAGGACACAAGACACAGAUUUAUUCCUCAAUCCAGCCACAUAAACACCCUGCAGCACUACACAGCUCAUCACCUGUGGGACCAUACUUGCUCAUGAUUAACUACUCAAGCUAAGCAGCUGGUCAUAUCUCUUUCCAAGUUUCACUCACGGCAGUUACCCAUCAGAGCAGCCUAUGGGAUGACACAUGUGCAACUUCCCUUAUUCAUUACUGAUGCCUGAUGAUGAGACCGUAGAAACCCUAACGUAAUAGUUGACAUAACAAUUCAAAUACAUAUAAUAGAGAACAGAUUCUAAGCAAAAUACAUUUAGCAUACAUCUUUCUCUUUCAUGUAAGAAGCCAAUAGACCACAUGUGCCCAAGGACACAAAAUAUAAAUAUUAUGACAUUUGGGGGUGGUGUUUCUUUUUUGCAACUCCAUUGUGAGGGUCUCAAGCACAAACUCCGUAAAUGAUGGUAUCAUGUCACAAUGUCAAAAGGUUAUACAGCCAUUCUCCUCUGUGGAAUCAUGCAAAGAUGCACAGUCCUAGUUUGUUGUUUCCCCAAUCUGAACUGUACUAACUUUUGUGACACAAAAUUGUUCCUUGUCUCAGCAGCAAGAUGGAGAAUGAGGUCUCCUGUCUUUAACAAGGAUGUUGCAUGCAUUUUUCCCCACCAACAUGGUCAGGUACCAAAAGAGGCUAGGAAAUAUAAACUUUAUUUUCAGCUUUUGUAUCUUCUACUAAGAACUUGGAGAGAAAAAGAAAACAAUGAGAAUGUGAGAAGACAAGCAUCAGUCACUACUAUAUGCAGCCAGAGAGCAGAAGAAAUUAAGGAAUUUAUCUUAAAUGAUCUUUUUGUAUGUGCAUGAUGUAUAUAUGUGUUUCUGUGUAUCUGUGUAUGUACGAUGUGUGUGUGUGUGUGUGUGUGUGUGUGUGUGUGUUAUUUACACAUCCAAGAUUUGGGUGUGUGAGUGCAGGUAUGCAUGUGGUACACAACUCUGGUCCUCAGGUCCUUGGCUUCAGUCUUGUUUGAGGCAAAUUCUCUUUAGUGUUCACCAUUACACCACCAGGCUAGCUAGCCCAUGCACUUCCAGUGAUUCUUCUCUCUUUUCCUCCCAUCUCACAAGAGUACUGGGACUACUACACCCAGUUUUACAUGCAUCCUGGGUAUUUCAACUGAGGGUCUCAUGUUUGCACAGCCAUCUCCCCAUCAAACUAUCUCCCCAGCCUGAGCUUAAGGAAUUCUAAGGCUCUGGCCUCACAAUGACAACUUUCAAUUUUUAUUGCUCCAUAACAAACCACACUAAAUUUUGGUGGCUUACAACAAUAAUUACAUUUUGUGACUUUGCCAGGAACUUGGGAUGGCUUGGUUGAGAAGAUAGAUAUACAAGUGAGUUGUCUGGGGCCCCUCAUUCAGCUGAGUUCAAUUCAGCUGAUCCUGGGCUGAACUGGAAGGUCUAAGAUGGUCAUUUGUCUAAUGCUUUGCUGCUCCUCUACAAGACAUGGAUGUUGGGACCUGAACUUAGUUCCUUGGAAGAUCAUUAUGUACUCUAAAACUCAAGCCAUCUCUCCAGCCCCAAAGGAUGCUUACACAAUGAUACUUCCUCCAUAGUGCCCUGGUGAGUGCUUGUGAACACACAGUAUCUUAAACAAACUUUCAGGUACAAGCUGUUAUAGUUAACAUUUCUUCUAUGGCCCAUUUCUGCUCUCUCCUGAGAUAUAUGCAUUAUUAAGACCAUGAGAAAUAUUUUCCUAAUCUCUUGUUCUAGCUUAUCAAGAGAAGGUCACCAGGCACUCCUACGAUUUGCCACUUAACUAAAUAAAAAGUGAUAGUUGACAGAACUGACUGGAAACCUUGGUUUUCCUCAACAUGGAGUCAAGAAAGCUACUCUUCAAUGGAGUGGGUCUUCAAGUGCAAAGACUAAGUUAAAAUGUGCUUAUAAAGUUUAUUUUUAAAGUCAUUUGAGACACAGUAUAAACAUGCAGCAAAGCUAUUGUGGCAAGUUGGAUUAGGAAUAACAUGAAGGUAUUUACAUGUCCACAUAUGUAUGCAUGUCUAGAAAUACUGAGUGCAGAUAAAUACAGAAACACUACAAAAUAAGCAAAAAAUUCAGCAUGAUAAUUUAUUGACUAGUUUUUACAACAUUUAUUACUUAAUUCUUCAUGUUAAUGGCUGCAAAGAAACUCCUGGUUUGGUACCUAAGUAUUUGACUUUUAAAUAGACUUGAACAGUACAUAAAUAGAUUAAAAAUGAAAGACUCGGGUGUCUUCUCUGUCAGACUACUCAUAAAGGUUUCAUCUUAGAGUUCAAGGACUCUUGAAACUCCUCCAUCCUUGCAGUGUGUGCUGGAACUGUGGAGUUUAGGCAUAGAGCAUGAACAGGCAGUGCUCUCAGACCCUUCAGAGAACAAGUUAUUUUCCUUAAAAUGUAGGUGGAAGAGGACAUACUGGGGCACACAGAAACUCCAUCAUGCUAUAGCACAGAGAGCAAUGCAGUCUUCAUCAGAGGUAAGUGGAUUCAGGCAUGGCUUCCAUGUCAACCAUGGAAGAGCAAACUAUGGGAAGUACUGGUGAGAGAUGGCCAAUGGUGUGAAGGCAAGAACACCACCAUCUAACUGAGGUUGUCCAGGGACCUUCAGCUCCAACUCCCUCCCACACUUCACUUCCUCAAGUAGACCUCCACAUGAACAUCACAAAUCAUGGAAAAUGAUUCCAUGACUGUCAGUCCAGUAAGCACCAAGAUUCAACCUCUCCCUAUAACCCCAAGAAAUACCCACCUUAAACCGUGGCCUAUCUGUCAUGAGUCAUGUCAUGUCAUGAGGAAUGAAGUCAUCCUCUGCUGGGCCCCUAGUCUAUAGGGAAGUUUACAAACACUGAUGGAACAAAUAUAGGUUAGUUCCUUGCCAAGCGUCUUCUAGUAAGUACUGUCAACAUUCCUACUUGUUUCAUAAAAAGAUGGGUGUGGCUGUCUUACCAUUCAUUUUUUAAGUAUCACUCAAUGACUUGAUCUUCUCCGUCAUUCAUAAAUCUCUUCUCCCAAAGGUAUUGCCACUUGAAGUACGAAGGUAAUGAUAACAAUGGAUGAACACAUUAAAUGUGUUCAGGAAGUUGAUAAGUACCUGUUAUUAACUCUGAAUCAAAGAGAGCGGCUGGCUGGAGUAGACUGCUCAAGUAGGCUAAUCUCAUUUUUAAAACAAUGUUUUGAUUUUGAAAAGCAGAAGUGAAAUUUCAACCCUUAGGGGAACAUCUAUGGUCACCAGGAAUGUAAUUUUUGGACAGGAGUCAAGCCUGUUGUUGUUUUUACUGAGAGAUGAUUUCCAUGUCUUACCCGGUGACAUGAGGUCAUGGUAAGAGCAACAAGUGACUAAUGGGCUGUGAAUUAAAGGAGGAGCUCUGAUCAAAAAAACCCCAAACCUACUGUAUUUGAACACUUGCAUGAUGCUACAACUGAACAUUUCAGUACAUGAAUUAAAAAUAUUACUUGAAAUGACUUUAAGACUAUGUAUAGAAAAUAUAUGAAACAGAAAUAAGUCUCCUGAUUUGACCUGGGUCCCAUCCCCAUAAUCACUGUAUAUUUUAGAAUAUCUCCAAGAAUACAAGAUGUCUCAUUUAUAUGUAAUAAUUCAAAAUCUAAAAGGCUUGGGUCCCAAGAAUAAAGUGUGCUCAGACUGCACUACAGAUUAAAGUUCUCUGAGUUGAUGUCUGAUGGCUUUUCUAACUUAGCCUCUGUGCAACACAAAUAUGUGAGGCCUGUGGUUGGGAACAAGGUCAGCAGCAGGGAAUAGUCACAGAAGCAUAGAGAGAUUUCGUUUAUUCCCGACAUAGCAGGUGUUCAGUAGGCAGUCAUAACAUGUGAGGUUAACUACUGAAGAGAAAAUGGAGGAGGUUUCAUGUAUUUUUAUCUUCACUAUUUGGGGCCUGGGUAGUUGGGGAUUAUGAGAAAUAUAAAGUAUAUUUAUAUGUCCUUUCUUUAAUCCACUCUCCCUGGAAGAGUCAGUCAGCAAAGGGGCUACUGGUGAAUAUUUCAUUCAUGCCUGUAGCAAAGCAAAGCAAACCAACACACACAGAGCUUACGCUUCUUCACACUGCACGGACACUGCAGAAAUAGAAAGAUUAUUUUACUUUUCAAAUCUGACACACAAUACAUUAGGAAAUCGUUCAGUUGAAUGACUAAUGUGUGUGAACCAAACUUAGUGGAAUGAUGGCAUAGCCCAAGAGUCACCUGUUAAAUACAUCAGUGUUUCAAAUGCACAAAACACCCACAGUGAUUACAUCAGACCCUCAACGCCACCCUCAUACUGUAAGCAGUUAUUUGGGUGCAUGUUGUUUCAUGUAGGGUUCAGAGUGAGGAUAUGACGGUUCUAACAUGUUCCACUGUCUCUGAACAGGUAACGCUCUUCACUGCUUCCAAUGGCAUCCCAGUUUUGAGCAUGACUCUUCCUUGACUGGCAAUGCUCUCUCACACAGCAACCUUCUGUGGCUUCAGAGCAUACGUCUUGGUCUUUGCAGUGCUCCUGAAUGAUUCAUUUGUAGGAUACUUACUUCAUGGGGAAAGCAGCUCUAACCUCUCUCCAAUAUAUUGUCACGAUUUCCUUACACAGGGAAGGAACCUCAACAAAUAAUGACACAGAGUAAAUCUCACCAUCAGAAACGAGAGCUGAAUUUCAUACCCACAUCCUACAUAGAAAAAGCUCUAAGCCCUCAGUGAGCAUCAUGGGUUUAGCUUACAGGCAACUGGGAGGUGGGAAUGUUCUGGUCUCUUAAAAUAAAAUGAAAUUGAGAUUUCUUUGCACAGCAGCAGCAGAGGAAGACACUGGAUCUUUGCUGUCAAGUUGGUCUUUGAAAGCAAAUCAGCUUCCCUUCAUGGAUCCUGAUCUAGCAUGAUGCAAGGGGUGAUGGCAGGGGGCUUCAUCCAAGGGCCCUGUAGACCAGGCCGCUAGGAUGUUAUGAAGGCUACCUUCUGUCCCAGGAAAGGUCAUCAGUGACAGCAAUGACACUGGUGUAUUAAGCCACCAGGCACCCACCUACCAAGGAAUUCACCAUACCUCACUACAGUGCACAGGGACUAAUGCUGGGAGGAAAGCGGAAGAGCCAAACUUCCAUCAGAGUUUCACAUCACACCAUAAUCUUUAUGAGCUGUUUUCCAUUGAUUGCCUUUAGUUCACUGAUGCUAUUUCUGGAUGGAUCUGUCUGUCUACUGUUACUGGUUAAUUCUAAUUCAUUAUUUUAUUUCAUUUAACAGCAUAAAUGCCCCGAGGCACAGUGCUGUGUAUAUGUUCAGCCUAUUAUCUCUAGAAAUACUGAUGCAAUGUAGAAUGAAUUGAGAUUAUAGGCUGUGACAUGUAAACAUAGCUUCACACACCUCUAAACACCAGAGUGUCUAGGAAUUAGCGAAAACUCUGAAGGAAUCUGUUAGAUACCAAGGCCAAGUGCAGUGGGUCUGGGGAGACAACUUUUUAGACUAUGGAGAAUAAAGGCUUUUUGCUAUUGUAGACACUCAUAGGAAUUGUAUGUUGGAAUUGUUGAAAUAGAUUAUGAUAGAAGAAAUGGCUGAUAUGUAACCUUUUGUUGAUGACCUAUAACUGAAGAGUAAAUACCUCUUUGUUCUAUGAGUUCUGUAAUUCAGAGAAAGAAAACCUUUGUAUAUUUCAUUCCUGCUAAUGAAGCUUUCAUGACCAUGCUUUCAAACUGUGUGGCUUGGGGCUGGAGAGAUGGCUCAGUGGUUAAGAGCACUGCUGCUCUUCCAGAGGACCAGCAUUCAAGUCCCAGCACCUACGGAGUAACUCAGAACCAUUUGUAACUCCACUUCAAAGCUCUCUGACUCCCUUUUCUGAUCUUCAUGGGUAAAAGACAUAUGUACUACAUACAUACCUGUGAACAAAAUAUCAUAUAAAUAAAUAAAUCUUAAAAUAUUCAAACUCUGUGGCCUAAGAAUCUAGUACUUUGGUAUUUGUUUUCUGUUUCAAUUAAACAAGGUUUAGAAGGCACAGCUUCCCAAUUUGAAUUUUC